AUACUUACCUGACAGGGUAGGCACCAUGAUUAUUUAGGUGGUCCUCCCAGGGUUAGGCUCAUCCAUUGCACUGUGGGUGGGUUGACCCCUGCGAUUUCCCCAAAUGCGGGGAAACUCGAAUGUAUAAUUUGUUAUACUGGGGGACUGCGUUCGCGCUAUCCCCCG
rnacentral:snRNA from 1 species